rnacentral:rRNA from 1 species
AAGGGCACCACAAGAACGCGUGGAGCAUGUGGCUUAAUUUGACUCAACGCGGGAAAUCUUACCGGGUCCGGACACACUGAGGAUUGACGGGCAAUAUUAAUACUGUGUUCGCACUGUAUUAUGUUAAAUAUGCUAGUCCUUUCAUGAUUAUGUGAUAGGUGGUGCAUGGCCGUUCUUAGUUCGUGGAGUGAUCUGUCUGCUUAAUUGCGUUUCACUAAGGGCCUAUAAAUUUACGUGUGUUGCGGCACUUUGACCCCUUUCUUUUUGAAAGCGCGCGUCUUAGUUUGCUUUGCUCACACAAUUAGGUCCUGAAAGCAACGAACGUGACCGCAACCUCUUGUUGCCUUUAUACCAAACAUGUUUGUCAUUUUUAUGGCAUUCAUGAAAAAAGGCUUUUUAAACUAGAGGGACCGCUGUUACUUUCUUAAACCAGAGGAAGGUUGCGGCAAUAACAGGUCUGUGAUGCCCUUAGAUGUUCCGGGCUGCACACGUGCUACAAUGAUUAUUGCAGUGAGCAUCUCAUUUUUACACACCGCAUGCGCGAGUCCAUUUAUUCACUUCGGUGCUUUAAAUGUGUAUCUCUGCGCGCGGUAAAGCCUGCUUCGAAAGUAAGUGGGUAAUCAAUUAGAAGUAAUGAUUUCCUUUUUAGCACACAUAUAUACGGCGUCUAUGCCCGGGUUACCUUGUUGUAACUUUUGUGUGUAUAGAUGUUUUUUCCGUAUGUGCGAUUGUCAAUUCAUGGUGGGGACAGACCAUUGUUAAUUGUUGGUCUCGGUCUUAACUAGGAAUGCCUUGUACGGGUCUUUGGUUCAACAAACCACCCGGAAUACGUCCCUGCCCUUUGUACACACCGCCCGUCGCUCUUACCGAUGGACUUCUCUGUGAGUUUGAGGGACUGGGAACGCAGAAAAUUUAUUUUCUGCACACCUAUGGAAACUUAAACGAACAGUGUGGUCUAAAGGAAAGAGAAGUCGUAACAAGGCAUCGGUAGGUGAACCUGCAGAAGGAUCA